rnacentral:rRNA from 1 species
AUGUACGCCAUCCUCAUGGACUGCCUCCUCAAGAUGGACGAGGACGUGCGCCUCCUCCACCAGAGCGGGGUGCUCGUGAACCGCAUGAACGACGAGAGGAAAUACGCCGCCACGGGGUUCUUCAGCCGCCUCUGCGCUGAGGCACGCACCUCAGCCAACCGCAACCACCUGGCCGACGUGAUGGAGGAGGUCAUGAGGUACCACAGAGGGAGAUGGCCCAGGUGGCGUGCCGCUCUGGUGACCAACCCUUGGGUGACCACCUCCCUCGUCGCCUCCGCGGUCUUGCUAGGCUUGACCGUGCUGCAGACCUACUACACUGCCGUUGCCUACUACAAGCCAACCAAGUAA